AGAUUAAGUUAUUAAGGGCGCACGGUGGAUGCCUUGGCACUAGAAGCCGAUGAAGGACGUUACUAACGACGAUAUGCUUUGGGGAGCUGUAAGUAAGCUUUGAUCCAGAGAUUUCCGAAUGGGGAAACCCAGCAUGAGUUAUGUCAUGUUAUCGAUAUGUGAAUACAUAGCAUAUCAGAAGGCACACCCGGAGAACUGAAACAUCUUAGUAUCC
rnacentral:rRNA from 1 species